rnacentral:rRNA from 1 species
GACAGAGGUGCCGAGCGUUAGGCGGAAUCACUGGGCUUAAAGCGUGUGUAGGCGGAUCGUUAAGUGCCUUGUGAAAUCCCACGGCUCAACCGUGGAACUGCUUGGCAUACUGGCGGUCUUGAGCCACUUAGGGGCUACCGGAACAAACGGUGGAGCGGUGAAAUGCGUAGAUAUCGUUUGGAACGCCAAUGGUGAAAACAGGUAGCUGGGAGUGUGCUGACGCUGAGACACGAAAGCCAGGGGAGCGAACGGG